AACAAAUUUUUUGUUUGGAGUGGUUCAAUUUGUCUUGUACAGAUGUACCUCAGCAUUUUUAAAGUAAUGGAUAUGCAUACAGCAUUACUUAUGACCGGGACCAAUACGUUUAUAGAUGACGGAGCUGGCUGAAACGUGCUUGAAACACUGUUGUAUCUUUGGUUUCUGCAUUUGUUUUCCAAUGUUUUUCGUCUCCAGGCGUUUUUUAACCUACACACCCCUCAGACUUUCCCGAGCAUCCCCUGGAAGGCGAUGCUUUUGUUGUUUUCUGGCACUGGCAGUUGCUUGUUGAUAAAAUUUAAUCAUAUUACACAUAUUUCGCUCUUUACGGUCUGUUACCCCAAUAAGGCCCCUGGUUUUUUGGGGGGCUUGUUGGUCCAUGCAUGCUGGAGGUAUUUACUCUUGUUUACAGUUGUGCACGUCGACGAGAAUGGCCAAAAAUAUCCAAUUUGAAAUUAAUGCCUUUAGGAUAUUAUUCAUAAAAUUCGUGUGAGUGAUGCGGAAUAUGGAGAGUGAGAGCCUCCGCUGUUGUAAUUGCCCUGCGGCAUUUGGCGGGUUGAAGUCUUGCCAGCUACCGCAAAAGUUUAUUGUGUGCUAUAAAUUUAAUGCAACAAAUCAUUUGACCGAGGAAAGCCCAAGCUGACAAAGAUAGAAAGGAAAGGAAGGCGGCGGAGGUUGGUGCAAUAAAAUAAGUCAGUAAAAGAAAUAGUAGUAGACAAGUAUUUUACUGAGUCUAAUAAAACAUAGCAUUACAAACUUAAGAAGGCAAACGGUUUGUAAAAUGAA